ensembl:snoRNA LOC120098734 small nucleolar RNA U3
AAGACUAUACUUUCAGGGAUCAUUUCUAUAGUUCGUUACUAGAGAAGUUUCUCUGACUGUGUAGAGCACAAACCA